UACGUAGGUGGCAAGCGUUGUCCGGAUUUACUGGGCGUAAAGGGCGUGCAGGCGGUUUGUUAAGUGCAGGGUGAAAGCUCCCGGCUCAACUGGGAGAGGUCCUUGCAUACUGGCGAACUCGAGGGAGGCAGAGGAAAGUGGAAUUCCCGGUGUAGUGGUGAUAUGCGUAGAUAUCGGGAGGAACACCUGUGGCGAAGGCGACUCACUGGCCCGAUACUGACGCUGAGGCGCGAAAGCGUGGGGAGCAAACAGG
rnacentral:rRNA from 1 species